GAUGAACGCUAGCGGCAGGCCUAAUACAUGCAAGUCGAACGGUGUCUUCGGACAUAGUGGCGGACGGGUGAGUAAUGCGUAGGAAGCUGCCCGAUAGAGGGGGAUACCAGUUGGAAACGACUGUUAAUACCGCAUAAUGUCUACGGACCAAAGUGUGGGACCUUCGGGCCACAUGCUAUCGGAUGCGCCUACGUGGGAUUAGCUAGUUGGUGAGGUAAUGGCUCACCAAGGCGACGAUCUCUAGCUGGUUUGAGAGGAUGAUCAGCCACGCUGGAACUGAGACACGGUCCAGACUCCUACGGGAGGCAGCAGUGGGAAUAUUGGACAAUGGGCGCAAGCCUGAUCCAGCCAUGCCGCGUGUGUGAAGAAGGCCUUCGGGUUGUAAAGCACUUUCAGCGAGGAGGAAGGGUGGUGUGUUAAUAGCACAUCAUUUUGACGUUACUCGCAGAAGAAGCACCGGCUAACUCUGUGCCAGCCGCCGCGGUAAUAC
rnacentral:rRNA from 1 species